GGAAAUGCCAACUAAGUAUUUCUUAGUGUGUCAAUAAAAGAUAGAGGAAAAAGAAAACCAAACAAUUAAUUAUGGCCCAUCUCAGGGUUCAUAAUAUAAACUAAGUAUCUUUUUUUUGCCCAUGAUUGUCAAGUUUACAAAUUUGAUCUGAAGGCAAAAAAAGGAACAUGGCUGUACAAGAGGUCUAAAAACCCUCACCCAGAACAUGAGCUGAACACAGACAACAACAAUGAAUGUGUUGGAGUGGUCUAGGGAAAGGCUCUGAGGCUUCAACUCUAUACAAAUAAUUGCAAGCAACUAAGGAUUUCUGAGACAGGGAGAAAAUGAAGAGCACACCAAUUGGUUAUCCAAAACCAAAUGGUCAGGCCUCAAACCAUACACGUACAGACUGAGGAAAUUAUACACAUACUUAUGAACAUGUGUGUGUGUGCGUAUAUAUUAAGAAAUAAAAAUUAGAGACCAUGACUUUGAAAAGGAGAAUGGAAGGGUAUUUAGGCAGGUUUGAGGGGAGAAAAGAGAAAGGGGGAAAUUGUGUAUCUCUAAAACAUACAAACAAACAAAAAACAACCUAGGCCCAUUCAAAUACACACUGAGAACUAAAUUCAGAUUGAAUACACUUACCACAUCCAUCAUGUAACUGAAACUUGAGAUUCAGAUACUGUUGGGAUGGAUUUAGUACAGUGCUUAGAGUUGAUAGUAAAAAUAAUUAACAGCUGGGCAGUGGUGGCGCACACCUUUAAUCCCAGCCUCUUGUCCUUUCUAUCUUCAGACCUUCUCUCCAUGGGGACUUUCAAUCUCUUCCCCUUCUCUGUCUCCCUUCCCAAGGCUGUUUCCCUGACCAGUGAUCUUGCCUCCCCUGCCAAAAGCAGUUUCCCAAUAAACCGGAUAGAUAGAUAGAUAGACAGAUAGGUAGAUAGGUCCCUAAUCUGGCUUGAAUUAGCUCAUUUUACCGGUGAAGGAAUAACUUAUCAGAGACUUCAUAUAAGGCAAUGCAAACCUUUUCUCUCCCUUCUGCCUCAUCUCCAUGCUCAAAUUUAGAAAAGAAACAAUUGUAGACACCGCCCAGGAUUAAGCUAAACCCAGUCACCUGGAAUUUAGUAAAUGACUCCUUGUUGGAGGCGGGAGAGGUGGGAUAUAUGACAGCAUUUAUUCUACUCACAAGAAAACUACAGUUCAGAGUUGAGUUUCUCUGUGCGACUCGGACUGACUGGGGAGACCAGAAGUGUCACUCUUCUUAUCUGUACUACUGUUUUCCUAUAUCCGAGGCACGUGGAAUGCCCCAGUCUUCACUUACUACAUACUCACUGAGAGCCAAGAGUUAGGCAUUGCGUUUGCUUCCGUCAUAUCCAAACACUACUGGGUAAAAUGUGACAAAAGAGACAGGAAAAAGCUUUUGUAUAUCUCUCGCAAUUCCUUAAACAAGGCGUCCAGAAAUGUCAAGGAAAGUAGCAGAUAAAACAGGCCCAGUUUGAAGUGGUCUCUUCCCACUACCUCACGGGGAAAGAAGGAGCGCCCCCAUU
rnacentral:lncRNA from 1 species